rnacentral:rRNA from 1 species
GAGUUUGAUCCUGGCUCAGGAUGAACGCUGGCGGCGUGCUUAACACAUGCAAGUCGAACGAAGACAUCUGAGUGCUUGCACUUGGAUGGACUGAGUGGCGGACGGGUGAGUAACGCGUGGGUAACCUGCCUUAUACAGGGGGAUAACAGUUGGAAACGACUGCUAAUACCGCAUAAGCGCACGGUAUCGCAUGAUACAGUGUGAAAAACUCCGGUGGUAUAAGAUGGACCCGCGUCUGAUUAGCUUGUUGGUGAGGUAACGGCCCACCAAGGCGACGAUCAGUAGCCGGCCUGAGAGGGUGAACGGCCACAUUGGGACUGAGACACGGCCCAAACUCCUACGGGAGGCAGCAGUGGGGAAUAUUGCACAAUGGGGGAAACCCUGAUGCAGCGACGCCGCGUGAGUGAUGAAGUAUUUCGGUAUGUAAAACUCUAUCAGCAGGGAAGAUAAUGACGGUACCUGACUAAGAAGCACCGGCUAAAUACGUGCCAGCCGCCGCGGUAAUUC